rnacentral:rRNA from 1 species
GACGAACGCUGGCGGCGUGCCUAAUACAUGCAAGUUGAGCGCUGAAGGUUGGUACUUGUACCAACUGGAUGAGCAGCGAACGGGUGAGUAACGCGUGGGGAAUCUGCCUUUGAGCGGGGGACAACAUUUGGAAACGAAUGCUAAUACCGCAUAAAAACUUUAAACACAAGUUUUAAGUUUGAAAGAUGCAAUUGCAUCACUCAAAGAUGAUCCCGCGUUGUAUUAGCUAGUUGGUGAGGUAAAGGCUCACCAAGGCGAUGAUACAUAGCCGACCUGAGAGGGUGAUCGGCCACAGUGGGACUGAGACACGGCCCAAACUCCUACGGGAGGCAGCAGUAGGGAAUCUUCGGCAAUGGACGAAAGGCUGACCGAGCAACGCCGCGUGAGUGAAGAAGGUUGUCGGAUCGUAAAACUCUGUUGGUAGAGAAGAACGUUGGUGAGAGUGGAAAGCUCAUCAAGUGACGGUAACUACCCAGAAAGGGACGGCUAACUACGUG